UUUCCUUUCCAAAUAUCCAAAAUGUAAUUAAUGUAAAUUGAGUUAACUAUAUUCCAAUAUCAUUAAAAUCAUAGAGACGAAUUUCAUAACGAAUAAAGAA
rnacentral:sRNA from 1 species